UACGGAGGAGGCAAGCGUUAUCCGGAAUUAUUGGGCGUAAAGCGUCCGCAGGUGGCACUUCAAGUCUGUCGUCAAAGACUGGGGCUUAACCCUGGAAAGGCGGUGGAAACUGAAGCGCUAGAGUGUGGUAGGGGUAGGAGGGAAUUCCCGGUGUAGCGGUGGAAAUGACGUAGAGAUCGGGAAGAACAUCGGUGGCGAAGGCGCUCUGCUGGACCAUAACUGACACUCAGGGACGAAAGCUAGGGGAGCGAAUGGG
rnacentral:rRNA from 1 species